CAAAUCUGGACCCCUACAAGCACCAUUCUCCGAUGCUGGCCUGAAACUCUGUGCCCAUUAAACAAGAACUCCCAGCCGGGCGCGGUGGCUCACACCUGUAAUCCCAGCACUUUUGGAGGUCGAGCUGAGCAGAUCACCUGAGGUCAGGAGUUCAAGACCAGCCUGGCCAACAUGGCGAAACCCCAGCUCUACUAAAAAUACAAAACUUAGCCGGGCAUGGCGGUGCACACCUGUAAUCCCAGCUACUCGGGGUGAGACAGGAGAAUCACUUGAACCUGGGAGGUGGAGGUUGCCGUGAGCUGAGAUCGCGUCACUGCACUCCAGCCUGGGUGACAGAGUAAGACUCUGUCUCAAAAAAUUAAAAAAAAAAAAAACUCCCCAUUCUUCCCUCCUUCCAGCCCCUGGUAAGCAUUAUUCUACUUUCUGUCUCUAGGAAUUUGAGUAGGUACUUCAUAUAAGUGGAGUCAUACACUAUUUGUCCUUUUGUGUCCAGCUUAUUUCAUUUAGCAUGAACAUUUAGUGUUCAAGGUUCAUCCAUGUUGCAGUAUACAUCAGUACUUCAUUCCUUUUUAUGGCUGAGUAAUAGUCCAUUGUAUAUCUAUGCCACAUUUUGUUUAUCCAUUAAUUUGUUGGUGGGCGUUUGGAUUAUCUCCACUUUUUGGCUAUUAUAAAUAAUGCUGCUAUGAACAUUGGUGUACAGGUAUCCUUUGAGUCCCUGCUUUCAUUUCUUUUGGGUUUAUAUUAAUACCUAGGAGUAGAAUUGCCAGAUCAUAUGGCAAUUCUAUGUUUAACUUUUUGUGGAACUGCCAUCCUGUUUUCCACAAUGGCUGAACCAUUUUACAUUAUAUUACAUUUUAUGUUAUACAUUCUGCACCAUUUUACAUACAUAACAGCAGUAUGCAAGAAUUCCAGUUUCUCCACAUCCUUGUCAACACUUGUUAUUUUCUGAAGUGUUUUCGAUAAUAGCCAUCUUGAUAUGUGUGACUAUAUAUUUUUACAUAGUUGAAAUCAUACUGUUUUUUACCCUGCUCUUUUAAACUUGUUACACUAUCUCUUCAUGUAAUUAAAUAUUCAUAAACAUCAUUCUUGAUGAGUGUACAAUAUUCCAUCACAUGAAUGUAAUGUAAUUUAUUUAACUAGUCCCCUAUUGACAUUUAUGUUACUUCCAACAUUUUGCUAUUAUAAAUAAUACUGUGAUGAUAUUCUUUGUUCAUAAGUCUGUUUCAGAACGAUUCUUUUUUACGAAUAAAU
rnacentral:lncRNA from 1 species